AGUAUCGCGUAGGGAUUUGUCGUUGGGUGGGGGAUAACCGCGGGGAAACUGCGGCUAAUACCGCAUGACGCCUGUGGGCCAAAGGUGUGCAAGCACUGCCUGACGAGGAGCCUGCGUCCGAUUAGCUAGUUGGUUGGGUAAUGGCUGACCAAGGCUGUGAUCGGUAGCUGGUCUGAGAGGGUGAUCAGCCACACUGGGACUGAGACACGGCCCAG
rnacentral:rRNA from 1 species